UAUUCCUUUUUAAUAUAAUCUUACAAUAGUUUUACACUAUUACAAAGUGUUAAUAAGAAAAGAUUAUGAUGUUGUGGGAGUUAAAGUACAAAUUAAGAAGUUUUACAAAGAAGGAAAAGUGGAUGAUUACUAAAAGUCACUCUAGCAUAAAGUUUUAUUUUCUUCAAAAGGAAGGAUAACAUUCAAUGUUAGUUGAUUAAUGGUUGUUUAUUUAGCACUUACCAUGUACCAGGCAAUGUUCUAAGUGUGUUCCAUGUAUCAAUUCAUUUAAUCCUCACAGUAAUCUGGAGGGAGUUACUAUUAUUAACUUUUAAGUUACAGGUGAGAAAACCAGCACAAAGGUUGCCCCAAGCCACCCAGCUUGAAGUUGUGGUCCUACCCAUGACAAUAUUUUGCCACACAGGAAAGAGAACCUGUGAAUAAAAGGUGUCACAGCUCAAUGUCACCCUGAGAAGACUGUCUGAUAACGGAUUUGUCUCUACUCCAUCCUGGUUUUUUGUUUUUUUUUUUUACCCUUUAUUUUAUUUGUUUAUUUUUAUGUGGUGCCAGGGAUCGAACCCAGUGCCUCACACAUGCUAGGUAAGCGCUCUACCACUGAGCCAUAACCCUGGCCCCAUUCUGUUUUUUAUUCUUUGUAAAAAUUAUUACUAUUUGAAAUACUAUACUAGCUUGUAUUUACCUGCUACCUGUACUAGAAUGUAAUCUCCACAAAGUAGAGAUUUUGUUUUAUUUCCCAAUCAUAUUCUCAAAUAUGUGUUAGCAAAUAAAUUUACUCGUCUCUCUAGCA